UACAGAGGGGGCAAGCGUUAUUCGGAAUUAUUGGGCGUAAAGGGCGCGUAGGCGGCCUGGCAAGUGGAAGGUGAAAUCCCUCGGCUUAACCGAGGAACUGCCCUCCAAACUGCUUGGCUUGAGACCGGGAGAGGUGAGUGGAAUUCCCAGUGUAGCGGUGAAAUGCGUAGAUAUUGGGAGGAACACCAGUGGCGAAGGCGAGUCUCUGGACAAUUCCUGACGCUGAGGCACGAAAGCUAGGGGAGCAAACAGG
rnacentral:rRNA from 1 species